rnacentral:rRNA from 1 species
UGGGGAAUAUUGCACAAUGGGCGCAAGCCUGAUGCAGCCAUGCCGCGUGUGUGAAGAAGGCCUUCGGGUUGUAAAGCACUUUCAGCGAGGAGGAAGGGUAGUGUGUUAAUAGCACAUUGCAUUGACGUUACUCGCAGAAGAAGCACCGGCUAACUCCGUGCCAGCAGCCGCGGUAAUACGGAGGGUGCAAGCGUUAAUCGGAAUUACUGGGCGUAAAGCGCACGCAGGCGGUUUGUUAAGUCAGAUGUGAAAUCCCCGCGCUUAACGUGGGAACUGCAUUUGAAACUGGCAAGCUAGAGUCUUGUAGAGGGGGGUAGAAUUCCAGGUGUAGCGGUGAAAUGCGUAGAGAUCUGGAGGAAUACCGGUGGCGAAGGCGGCCCCCCUGGACAAAGACUGACGCUCAGGUGCGAAAGCGUGGGGAGCAAAACAGGAUUAGAUACCCUGGUAGUCCACGCUGUAAACGAUGUCGACUUGGAGGUUGUGCCCUUGAGGCGUGGCUUCCGGAGCUAACGCGUUAAGUCGACCGCCUGGGGGAGUACGGCCGCAAGGUUA